AACGCGAAGGACCUUACCUACCCUUGACAUGUAUGGAAUCCUGCUGAGAGGUGGGAGUGCCCGAAAGGGAGCCAUAACACAGGUGCUGCAUGGCUGUCGUCAGCUCGUGUCGUGAGAUGUUGGGUUAAGUCCCGCAACGAGCGCAACCCUUGUCCCUAGUUGCUACGCAAGAGCACUCCAGGGAGACUGCCGGUGACAAACCGGAGGAAGGUGGGGAUGACGUCAAGUCCUCAUGGCCCUUAUGGGUAGGGCUUCACACGUCAUACAAUGGUCGGAACAGAGGGUUGCCAAGCCGCGAGGUGGAGCCAAUCCCAGAAAACCGUUCGUAGUCCGGAUCGCAGUCUGCAACUCGACUGCGUGAAGCUGGAAUCGCUAGUAAUCGCGGAUCAGCAUUCC
rnacentral:rRNA from 1 species